rnacentral:sRNA from 1 species
GACUUUGCAUAUACAGCCCGAGCGGUAAGCGACAGGCUGAUGGCUGGUGGCUUUUGCCACCGGCCU